rnacentral:snRNA from 1 species
GGAUGUGAGGGCGCUCUGACUGCGACAUCUGUCACCCCAUUGAUCGCCAGGGUUGAUUCGGCUGAUCUGGCUGGCUAGGCGGGUGUCCCCCUCCUCCCUCACCGAUCCAUGUGCGUCCCUCCCGAAGCUGCGCGCUCGGUCGAAGAGGACGACCUUCCCCCCCGAGGAGAGGACCGGUCUUCGGUCAAGGGUAUACGAGUAGCUGCGCUCCCCUGCUAGAACCUCCAAACAAGCUCUCAAGAACAGUAUGCCAUAUACGCCAGGUCCCUUGAAACAUAUGCUGUGCAGAUGUUUCUU